rnacentral:rRNA from 1 species
CUACGGGUUGCUGCAGUGGGGAAUAUUGGGCAAUGGGCGAAAGCCUGACCCAGCAACGCCGCGUGAAGGAAGAAGGUUUUCGGAUCGUAAACUUCUAUCCCAGGUGAAGAUAAUGACGGUAGCCUGGAAGGAAGCCCCGGCUAACUACGUGCCAGCAGCCGCGGUAAUACGUAGGGGGCAAGCGUUGUCCGGAAUGAUUGGGCGUAAAGGGCGCGUAGGCGGCCUUCUAAGUCCGAUGUGAAAGUCCUGCUUUUAAGGUGGGAAUUGCAUUGGAAACUGGAGGGCUUGAGUGCAGGAGAGGUAAGUGGAAUUCCCGGUGUAGCGGUGAAAUGCGUAGAGAUCGGGAGGAACACCAGUGGCGAAGGCGACUUACUGGACUGUAACUGACGCUGAGGCGCGAAAGUGUGGGGAGCAAACAGGAUUAGAUACCCCGGUAGUC